rnacentral:rRNA from 1 species
GAGACUCUGUGCGCGUGCAUAUCAAUAAGCGGAGGAAAAGAAACUAACAAGGAUUCCCCUAGUAACGGCGAGUGAAGCGGGAAGAGCUCAAAUUUGAAAUCUUAAAGGGUUUCCCUUUACGAAUUGUAGUUUAAAGAAGUGUUUUCUGUUGGAGUUUCGGUAAAAGUUCUUUGGAAUAGGACAUCAUAGAGGGUGAGAAUCCCGUAUUUGACCGUUACUUUCCAGCUGUGUGAUACACUUUCAAAGAGUCGGAUUGUUUGGGAGUGCAGUCCAAGAUGGGUGGUAAAUUUCAUCUAAAGCUAAAUAUUGGCGAGAGACCGAUAGCGAACAAGUACCGUGAGGGAAAGAUGAAAAGAACUUUGAAAAGAGAGUUAAACAGUACGUGAAAUUGUCAAAAGGGAAGCGUUUGACACCAGUGUUGUUUAGUUGAAAAUCAAUUCAAUAAUUUUUGAUUUUGAAGUAGUAUUGACUUCAUCAGCUUGCUGCUUUCUUUUCCGGAAAUUAUUGAAUGCACUUUUCAGUUAACAAGUCAACAUCAAUUUCUUUUGUUGUAAAAGGGUAAGAGGAAGGUGGCUUACGCUUCGGCGUAAGUGUUUAUAGCCUUUUACCUCUGCAAUCGGAGAGAUUGAGGACAGCAGCGUAGACUCCUUCGGGGGUUAGAUACACUUGUGCUAAGCUAUAGCCUUGUAUAGACAACUUGUUGACUAUGCUCAGUCAUGUAGCUUACUCGCUUGUGCUAUUUUACCUACGCUUAGGAUGUUGAAGAUGUAGCACAUCAU